GCAUUAAUGGGGUAGUGGUAACCUGGGUCGUUGCCAUUGAGCGUAUGCACGUUUCACUGUCGGUCGACCCGCCGGGGGUUCGAUUCCCCCUUAAUGCA
rnacentral:tRNA from 1 species